rnacentral:misc_RNA from 1 species
GUCAGUUUUAAUACAGUGAAAAUUAAAUAAAAUAAUAAUUAUUUAAAAAAAAGUCUUCAAAUGGGAAAUAGCGUGGGUAUCGAUAUACAUCACGGGAUUAGGGGAAGAAGCAGAGCCAUCGGGGAAGGGAGGCAGACUGGCAGAGCAUUGGAUGAGGAAGGGAGCAGAGCAUUGAUAUAUACUAGUCACCUCCAGUCGCCGGCUUGCUGCCCCGCCAAGUACUCCUCCUCCUCCACUUCUUCUUCUUCUUAUUCUUCUUUUUCUUUGCUGCUUUCUUUUCUGUUCUUGGAAAUACUCUAUUUUCAUUUUACCCCAAUAUUGAUCACCGGAUUCAACUGAAUAUUUGAGAUUUUGUUUAGGACAUUGUGGA